rnacentral:lncRNA from 1 species
AUGUGUGUGGAAUGUAUUGGAAUUGGGAUGUGGGACGAUGUUCUUUUUGCAUCCGCUGGUACCACCAUGGAAAACUUACUCUUCAUCACACGCAGCUGCAUAGCACGGCACAGGUACUGGCUAAGGAGAGGCUGUGGCUGUCAUGUGGAGGUUUGUAACUUUCUGUAUCCAGGAAACCAGCUGUGUCUGGGAGACUGGAUCAGCGCAUCCAGCCUGGAGUGGUCUGAUUAAACAUAGACUCAAGAGAUCUUUACCAAUAAAAACAAAACUAAAAGCAAAGACAUGCCAGAGAGCAGAACCCAUCCUACAGAGCAAGGAAAGCAAAAGCCUGCCAUGUGUGUAUUGGCAGAACUGCAGGCUUACAGCAGAUCACUUUCCUAGCAAAGGGCAGGGACCACUGGUGGCUAAAUUAGAAACUGUUCAGUUGUGAUACCUAUGGCCAACGAACGAACCUAUAGUCAAAACAGGUUGCCCCAGAAAGUUGCUCACAGCCAAGAUGUAACCAGGCUUACCGUUGAUUCCUGGGGAAGCUAGACUCAUGUUACUUUGCGGUGAGCUUUGUCUAGCAAACGGAAUCUUCAAAUUCCUAAAAUGCAGACCUCUUUUGAUCUCUUCAGGACUAUAUUGUAAUCAUGGAUACACACGAUGCACAUCUCACGUUUCCAAGCCUUUCUUUUGGGUUUUAUUUUAUUCCUUUGGUUCAUCCCACAUCCCGGAAUGAAGAAGGCCACAGCAUGACAGUGCAAUAAAGGAUGCAGGGACUUCAAGCUCCCUUGAAAAGUGGCGGGGUUUUUUUUUCUCGUGUUUUACGUUUCUCCUUGUUUUUCUGUGCACUGCUGGCUUUCCCACAUGCUCUGUUAUGAAGCCCUUUACCUGUCUCUAAUGUACCACGAUACUGUUACAGUCCUUGUAAUGUACACUGUCUCAAGAAUAAAAUGAAAUGAAAUGAACUGUGGGGUCUGGGUGUUGGCAGGUGGAUUGAAUGGCCUGGUUCUAUCGAGCUGUAUCAUUGAAUCUUAAAUGUACAAUGUUGUGUUUAAAUUAAUGGGAAAAGAGUUCAGAAAUGUUUGGUUUGGUUUUGUUUUUUUCUUAAGACUCCAAAAGGCAUGAUUCAUUUGAAAAAUCUUGAAAGCCCUAUUCAGAUUCCACAAAUUUGCUUCCAAACCUGGAUACUAAAUUUGGUUUUUAAAAUUCUUUCUAUUCCGUACUUACUGUGCUCCUAUUCAUAGGGAGAAAUCAAAAAGACAGUUGGCAGAAAUUAAACAUAAAAAUCAACCAUGAGCUGGAAGAAAGCGGAUGUAUCCCAGAACAAAGUAAUCCAGGCCAGAAGGUGGUUCUAAUAUUGAAAUCUGUGUACUCGGGCCUCUUUGAUAACAAGUUGCCGUCUUAGUUCUUGUAAAAUCAAGUCAGCACUUGUCCUUUCUACUUUAUUAGAAAUUAGCUCAUAAAGGCCACACUUAAUUUGGAAACAGAACAACGUGAUUCUCUCCCCCAAAGACUCACAUCUCCUAGACCAGCCUCAGCACCACUGCGAACUGUAGGCCAUGCCCCUGAGUUCAUUUAAGUCUGAAUCUCUUUUCUCUGCCUUGAUGGGGCUUCUCAUCAGUAGGGCAGCCAGGUUUGCUGGGAAGACGAGAGUAGAAAAAGUCCCACAAGAAGCCAUUCCUGUAUAGCUCUAAGCCCAUAUUCCACCCCUACACUAGCCUUCUUCCCAUCCUUCAAGUGAGAAGAGCUGCUGUAGCAAAGCUAAACUAAGAAGGAAAAGAAAUACCUUCAUGUUUAUAACACUCAGGUCAUGCCGCUGUUAAUCGCUGUGAGGCGUCUUUUAGUGGGUGCACUGGAUUCCACUCUCCUUUAUAUGCGGACCGUUUGCCUUAGGCUCAUCCCAGCAAACCUAGGGCAUAUCGGUAAACUGUUGACGCAGAGCAGAGUUGUUCCUACCUGGUGAUUUCUUCCACUUCUAUUGAGCAAAUUUGUCCUCAUCUUUAAAAGAGUCGACCUCCUCAGUUUGCAAGUGUUACUAUACAAAACUGAGCCAGGAAGAUAAAGAAAAUUUAAGCCGCAACAUUUACAGUCGACUAAACAAAGGUUUUUGUUUGGAAAAGACCUUUGUGUUUGGAAAGAGCACAAAAGCAAUUUAUACUGAGC